GAUGAAGAACGCAGCGAAAUGCGAUAAGUAGUGUGAAUUGCAGAAUUCAGUGAAUCAUCGAAUCUUUGAACGCACAUUGCGCCCCUUGGUAUUCCAUGGGGCAUGCCUGUUCGAGCGUCAUUUGUACCUUCAAGCUCUGCUUGGUGUUGAGACCUGCUGUCAAGGCAGUCUCUAAAAUCAGUGGCAGUGCUGUCAGGCUCUAAGCGUAGUAAAUUCAUCGCUAUAGACACCUGGUGGCCACUCGCCAGAACCCCCCCAUUUUUUAAUGAUUGACCUCGGAUUAGGUAGGGAUACCCGCUGAACUUAAGCAUAUCAAUAAGCGGAGGA
rnacentral:misc_RNA from 1 species